rnacentral:rRNA from 1 species
CAAUAGCGUAUAUUUAAGUUGUUGCAGUUAAAAAGCUCGUAGUUGGAUUUCGGGUGGGACGCAGCGGUCUCGCAUUGCGUUUGUACUGCUGCAGCCCUCCUUCUUGCCGGGGGCGGCCUCUCGGACUUCACUGUCUGGGGGUCAGAAUCGGCGAUGUUACUUUGAGUAAAUUAGAGUGUUCAAAGCAAGCUUACGCUCUGAAUAUAAUAGCAUGGGAUAACACGACAGGACUCUGGCCUAGCGUGUUGGUCUAUAGGACCAGAGUAAUGAUUAAGAGGGACAGUCGGGGGCAUUCGUAUUCCGUUGUCAGAGGUGAAAUUCUUGGAUUUACGGAAGACGAACAUCUGCGAAAGCAUUUGCCAAGGAUGUUUUCAUUGA